GCCUUAGUAGCUUAACUUUUAAAGCCUUGGUCUUGUAAACCAAAGAUUGAAGCUUAGACUCUUCCUAAAGCU
rnacentral:tRNA from 1 species